UGGCCCAACUAGGUUAUCUCAUCAUGAUGAACACAAAAGUUGGAUUCUGAAAGCCAGCACAAGGGUUGAAGAAACGGAGGGAGGCUGAAGAAUGGCAGUUCCAGAAGGAGCUCCAGAUGGUUUGCAAAAUGCCCCCUUCUUCCGUCGUUAUCGCCAAUAACUAUCAGGUGGUUGGAGGUCUACAUUGAUCAUCGAAUAGAAGCUCUUGAGUCCUGUGGACCCCACACCCACAUGACGUGGCACCGUCUUCAGCCACUUUUGGCUGUUGCAUCCAUUCCAUGCAAACUCUGGCGGCAGCUUUCUUCUCUGUAAUUCCACUCGGUUAUUUGACAAUUAACUCAACUGGGACUUAAUUCCUGGUGACUCAGUUUCGCAUUGCACAACAUUAAGAAUUGACUUAUACUCUGGUCCAGGGGUUGGCAACCUUAAACACUCCAAGAGCCAUUUGGACCCAUUUCCCACAGAAAAGAAAACACCG